rnacentral:misc_RNA from 1 species
CUCCAGCAAAAUUGAAGAACACAAAAUUUAAAUUAGUUUGGCAAAAGUCUAUUUCACAUACAAUUCACUAUCAAGGAAAAUAAUACCACUAUUUGAAUCUCUCACUCACUCCUUAACCUAAAUACAGUAAAAAAUGUUUACCAACCAUGCAAAAACUACUCACACUACAAUAACUAACUAGCUGCAACUCUCCACACAACUCUUUUAUUUUUUGUGUUCUUCAAUUG